rnacentral:lncRNA from 1 species
AUCAAACCGCCGUUCGCGGGAACAAUCUGCUUGAUGUAGAUAUUGUGUAUGAUUACAUUAUUCACAAACUGCAGCGUUAGUCCAGAACCUCCCAUGAUGUACACCCUAGCUCCACGUCCAUCGAUCGUUUUAUCGCUCGUCAUCAUCAGUUCCUGUUGCAGUUUUAUAACCAUGCUUCUUGCGAAGAUGAUCCAAAGCGGUCCGUCUCGUGUCACCGCGUGUCUUAAUGUUCCUGGCCUAGGGCUGAUAAGUUCGUCGUCUGAGGCAUCGGUGACUACGUAGAUCGGUCCGUCUUUUCCUCCGGUGGUUCUCCUGCCG